UACGUAGGGGGCAAGCGUUGUCCGGAAUUAUUGGGCGUAAAGCGCGCGCAGGCGGUCAUUUAAGUCUGGUGUUUAAUCCCGGGGCUCAACCCCGGAUCGCACUGGAAACUGGGUGACUUGAGUGCAGAAGAGGAGAGUGGAAUUCCACGUGUAGCGGUGAAAUGCGUAGAUAUGUGGAGGAACACCAGUGGCGAAGGCGACUCUCUGGGCUGUAACUGACGCUGAGGCGCGAAAGCGUGGGAAGCAAACAGG
rnacentral:rRNA from 1 species